rnacentral:rRNA from 1 species
UACGAACCGUCCAAACGUUACUCGGAAUCACUGGGCUUAAAGGGUGCGUAGGCCGCGCGGAGGGUGGGAUGUGAAAUCCCCCGGCUCAACCGGGGAAUAGCGUCCCAAACCGCCGUGCUCGAGGGAGACAGAGGUGAGCGGAACUGAUGGUGGAGCGGUGAAAUGCGUUGAUAUCAUCAGGAACACCAGUGGCGAAAGCGGCUCACUGGGUCUUUCCUAACGCUGAGGCACGAAAGCUAGGGGAAGCGAAGCGGG